UACGUAGGGGGCAAGCGUUGUCCGGAUUCAUUGGGCGUAAAGAGCGUGUAGGCGGCCAGGUAGGUCGGUUGUGAAAACUGGAGGCUCAACCUUCAGACGUCGACCGAAACCAUCUGGCUAGAGUCCGGGAGAGGAGAGUGGAAUUCCUGGUGUAGCGGUGAAAUGCGUAGAUAUCUGGAGGAACACCGGUGGCGAAGGCGGCAUCCUGGACCGAUACUGACGCUGAGGAGCGAAAGCCAGGGGAGCAAACGGG
rnacentral:rRNA from 1 species